rnacentral:misc_RNA from 1 species
GAUGAAGAACGUAGUGAAAUGCGAUACGUAAUGUGAAUUGCAAAUUCAGUGAAUCAUCGAGUCUUUGAACGCACAUUGCGCCCCCUGGUAUUCCGGGGGCAUGCCUGUCCGAGCGUCAUUGCUGCCCUCAAGCACGGCUUGUGUGUUGGGCCCCGUCCUCCGAUCCCGGGGGACGGGCCCGAAAGGCAGCGGCGGCACCGCGUCCGGUCCUCGAGCGUAUGGGGCUUUGUCACCCGCUCUGUAGGCCCGGCCGGCGCUUGCCGAUCAACCCAAAUUUUUAUCCAGGUUGACCUCGGAUCAGGUAGGGAUACCCGCUGAACUUAAGCAUAUCAAUAAGCGGAGGA